rnacentral:rRNA from 1 species
CAGGGAAUUUUGUCCAAUGGGCGCAAGCCUGAGACAGUAACGCCGCGUGUGGGAUGAAGGCCCUCGGGUCGUAAACCACUGUCAGAAGGGAAGAACAUCCCGGUGGCUAAUAUCCGCCGGGCUUGACGGUACCUUCAAAGGAAGCACCGGCUAACUCCGUGCCAGCAGCCGCGGUAAUACGGAGGGUGCAAGCGUUGUUCGGAAUUACUGGGCGUAAAGCGCGUGUAGGCGGUCGGGCAAGUCGGAUGUGAAAUCCCCGGGCUCAACCCGGGAACUGCAUCCGAAACUGCUCGGCUAGAGUCCCGGAGAGGAAGGCAGAAUUCCCAGUGUAGGGGUGAAAUCCGUAGAUAUUGGGAGGAAUACCAGUGGCGAAGGCGGCCUUCUGGACGGUGACUGACGCUGAGACGCGAAAGCGUGGGGAGCAAACAGGAUUAGAUACCCCCGUAGUCC